GGGCGGAUAGCUCAGUUGGUUAGAGCGACAGCCUUACAAGCUGUAGGUCCACGGUUCGAGACCGUGUCCGCCCACCA
rnacentral:tRNA from 1 species